rnacentral:lncRNA from 1 species
GAAUAUUCCUGUGUCUUGGCAAGUAGACCUAGUAUAGAAGUAAACAACUUUAUUGAGGUCCUGAGAAGCUAGGCAGGCGGGCCUGCUAGGUAGGUCCCUACCCAGCAAUUGGCUAGCCCCAUGUCGGAACAGAGGCCAUGCCUUUCUGCUCGUUCACGGGCUCUCUGGACAGCCAGGAGCUGGACGUCUUGUCUAGGGGUCUGUGAUGGCCUU